GGGCCCGUAGCUCAGCCUGGCUAGAGCGCUGCUCUGAUAAGGCAGAGGUCCCGUGUUCGAAUCACGGCGGGCCCA
rnacentral:tRNA from 1 species